rnacentral:rRNA from 1 species
AUGGCGGCUCGCGUUUUCCUCUCGUCGUCCAGGAUCGCGGGCCAGCUCGCGGCCGCGAAUAACCGUGGUGUCCGUUCGUACGCCGCAGCGGCGGCGGCCGUGACGCGGCAGGAGCCUUCAGCAGCCGGGGCUGCGAGCAGGCUCGCGGCGGCGGCAAAGGAGGCGGCCCCGAAGAAGGAAUUCUUCUGGAUGAGGGACCCAAAGACGGGGUGCUGGAUGCCGCAAAACCACGUCGACGUCGUUGACCCCGCAGACCUCCGCGCGCGGCUGCUCUUCUCCAAGAAGUAA